AUUGAACGCUGGCGGCAGGCCUAACACAUGCAAGUCGAACGGUAACAGGAAACAGCUUGCUGUUUCGCUGACGAGUGGCGGACGGGUGAGUAAUGUCUGGGAAACUGCCUGAUGGAGGGGGAUAACUACUGGAAACGGUAGCUAAUACCGCAUAACGUCGCAAGACCAAAGAGGGGGACCCUCGGGCCUCUUGCCAUCGGAUGUGCCCAGAUGGGAUUAGCUUGUUGGUGGGGUAACGGCUCACCAAGGCGACGAUCCGUAGCUGGUCUGAGAGGAUGACCAGCCACACUGGAACUGAGACACGGUCCAGACUCCUACGGGAGGCAGCAGUGGGGAAUAGUGCACAAUGGGCGCAAGCCUGAUGCAGCCAUGCCGCGUGUAUGAAGAAGGCCUUCGGGUUGUAAAGUACUUUCAGCGGGGAGGAAGGGAGUAAAGUUAAUACCUUUGCUCAUUGACGUUACCCGCAGAAGAAGCACCGGCUAACUCCGUG
rnacentral:rRNA from 1 species